rnacentral:rRNA from 1 species
GUAGCCUACGGGAGGCAGCAGUGGGGAAUAUUGCACAAUGGGGGAAACCCUGAAGCAGCAACGCCGCGUGAGUGAAGAAGUAUUUCGGUAUGUAAAGCUCUAUCAGCAGGGAAGAAGAUGACGGUACCUGAUUAAGAAGCCCCGGCUAACCACGUGCCAGCAGCCGCGGUAAUACGUAGGGGGCAAGCGUUAUCCGGAUUUACUGGGGGUAAAGGGAGCGCAGACGGCAGUGCAAGUCUGGAGUGCAAGCCCUGGGCCCAACCCCGGAACUGCUCUGGAAACUGUGCG